rnacentral:lncRNA from 1 species
AUAACAGUGAGUGCUGUUAUUUUUUGCUCUAUUAAUCCUCUUAUCUUUCUGCCUGUGAACUAUUGUUCACCCCAUAUUGGCCACUGGUACAAAUUGUGCCCUGAAAUCCAAAUACACACAAAAAAAGGAGAGAGAGCAGAGGAAACGAUGGCAGGAACGAGCUCAAUAAUUUCCACUGUGAUAACUUGGGCAGGGUUUGUUUAUGAAUCCCAAGGAGGAACAGAAUCCUCCAGGUCGUGCUUGAAGUCACUGGGAGAGACAAAAACUCUCAGUUUUCCUCUCAGUGCCAGCCUGAUUUCAUAUUCUCCCUCCUCUCCACGUAUUUACAGUUUUCCUCCUUUAUUUUUCCUCAGAAAUCUGCCCAGGUGAGGCUGCACGAGUAAUUCUGAGCAGCCAGGGCCUGAUUAUCAGCCCUGCCCACGGAGAAUUCCCUCGGGUGCUGCCUUCUCUCUGCUUCCCAAUAAAUAUUUUUAUUUAUUGCUGUGUUAGGAGGGAUCUCACUGCAGCCUCUCCCCAGUGGCUUUUCCAUGACUUCAAGCCAGGAAAUCUCCAGUGAACCUUAACAGGUGCAGUGAAGAGGAAAACCUCACUGGCUGAGGUGAAACACAGGAACCUUUUGGGGUGAUAAAUAAAACUUCCAGACUUUUCCAGUUUUUGGUUUUUACCUUUUAGAAGGGUCAAGCUGGAGGCUGUUCAGGUGGAAUGAAAGGGAAUGUGAGCCCCUGCUCUGCUCACGGUCCUGGCAGGAAUUCUGCAGCAAUUCGCUGCAGAUCAGCGAGGAUUCAUCAAAGUUGUAUCAAGUUGAAAGAGUGCCCAAGGGUGCUGCCUGGGAGCUCCAGCAGCUUUUUCUGCACAAAACAACUCUCUCUGCCCUUUGCUUUUCUAAUCCCAAACUAGCCUGGGGCUCCGGUUCACCUUCUGGAGGAGCAGCUCCGCCACCUUCCCAAGGGCUGCUGCGGAGAGAGGAUUUUAAAUUCCAGCAGGAUGAAAGGAAGCGGUGCAGGGGCUCCUCCAGGCCAGGACAGGGGGGUUUUGUGCCCACCCUGCAGGGGACACCCGGGUCAGGCUGUCCUGCCUCAAGUUGUGACCCUUUUUCUGUUCCGUGCUGUUCAGGCUGGGAUUGUUUCCCCCUGUGCGGGGUGAAGAUCUGCUGGGAGUUUUUGUUUGACAACAGCUUUUGCUGGCAGCAAAGAGAAACAUUCUCUAUUUCACAUGUUUUUAUGGCUUUUCAUUCCCUUUUCCACCCAUGCAAAGGCCUUUCCCAGGUAAACUCCAGUGGCUGUAAUCUCCAUUCCUCUUAGAGUUUGAGAAGUGGGAAGGAGGAGGAAUAUUGGCAGUUCUGAUGGCAGGGGUUCUGCCAGCCCCAGGUGAGGAGGCAGAGGAGCAGAUGGAGGAAUUUAAAAUUCUGUGCAGCACAAAGACCUUGAAAUAACGAAAGGGAAAAAAAAAAAAAAUAAAAUCAAAAUGCAAACUGACUCCUCCA